rnacentral:rRNA from 1 species
CGGGCUUGCUUGCGGGGGGAAGUGGCGAAAGGGGCAGUAAGGCGUGGGUAACCUACCCCAGGGUCCGGCAUAGCCGUCCUAACGGACGGGUAAUACCGGGCGACGUAACGCGAUCGCCUGACCGUGUUACCAAAGGUUUUCCGCCCCGGGAGGGGCCCACGUGGUAUUAGCUUGUUGGUGGGGUAACGGCCCACCAAGGCCAAGAUGCCUAGCGGGUGUGAGAGCACGACCCGCGCCACUGGCACUGAGACACUGGCCAGACUCCUACGGGAGGCUGCAGUCGAGGAUCUUCGGCAAUGGGCGCAAGCCUGACCGAGCGACGCCGCGUGCGCGAUGAAGGCCUUCGGGUUGUAAAGCGCUGUCGAGGGGGAGGAAAGCCCGCAAGGGUCUGACCUAUCCCUGGAGGAAGCACGGGCUAAGUUCGUGCCAGCAGCCGCGGUAAGACGAACCGUGCGAACGUUGUUCGGAUUCACUGGGCUUAAAGGGCGCGUAGGCGGGUCCUAAAGUCCGGGGUGAAAUCCUCUCGCUUAACGAGAGAACUGCCCCGGAUACUGAGGAUCUCGAGGAAGGUAGGGGCAUGUGGAACUUCCGGUGGAGCGGUGAAAUGCGUAGAUAUCGGAAGGAACGCCGGUGGCGAAAGCGACGUGCUGGACCUUUUCUGACGCUGAGGCGCGAAAGCCAGGGGAGCAAACGGGAUUAGAUACCCCGGUAGUCCUGGCCCUAAACGAUGGGUACUAGAUUGUAGACUGACAUGGGUUUACAAUCGAAGCUAAAGUGUUAAGUA